rnacentral:rRNA from 1 species
GAUGAACGCUGGCGGCGUGCCUAAUACAUGCAAGUCGAGCGAACAGACGAGGAGCUUGCUCCUCUGACGUUAGCGGCGGACGGGUGAGUAACACGUGGAUAACCUACCUAUAAGACUGGGAUAACUUCGGGAAACCGGAGCUAAUACCGGAUAAUAUAUUGAACCGCAUGGUUCAAUAGUGAAAGACGGUUUUGCUGUCACUUAUAGAUGGAUCCGCGCCGCAUUAGCUAGUUGGUAAGGUAACGGCUUACCAAGGCAACGAUGCGUAGCCGACCUGAGAGGGUGAUCGGCCACACUGGAACUGAGACACGGUCCAGACUCCUACGGGAGGCAGCAGUAGGGAAUCUGCAGCAAUGGGCGAAAGCCUGACGGAGCAACGCCGCGUGAGUGAUGAAGGUCUUCGGAUCGUAAAACUCUGUUAUUAGGGAAGAACAAAUGUGUAAGUAACUAUGCACGUCUUGACGGUACCUAAUCAGAAAGCCACGGCUAACUACGUG